rnacentral:rRNA from 1 species
GUGGGGAAUAUUGGACAAUGGGCGCAAGCCUGAUCCAGCCAUGCCGCGUGAGUGAUGAAGGCCUUCGGGUUGUAAAGCUCUUUAGCCGAUGAUUAUAAUGACUGUAGUCGGAAAAUAAGCCCCGGCUAACUUCGUGGCAGCAGCCGCGGUAAUACGAAGGGGGCGAGCGUUAUUCGGAAUCACUGGGCGUAAAGCGUGCGUAGGCGGCUUUGCAAGUUGGGAGUGAAAGCCCAGGGCUCAACCCUGGAAUUGCUCUCAAAACUGCAAGGCUCGAAUUCGGGAGAGGAUAGCGGAAUUGUCAGUGUAGCAGUGAAAUGCGUAGAUAUUGACAGGAACACCAGUGGCGUAAGCGGCUAUCUGGACCGAUAUUGACGCUGAGGCACGAAAGCGUGGGGAUCAAACAGGAUUAGAUACCCGGGUAGUCC